GGCUGGCCCGAUGGUAGUGGUUUGUCAGAAAAACUAUCAACAUUAAUGCCACUAAACACCCCCCACCCUCAACUGCUGGAUUUGACUGAUUUAAA
rnacentral:Y_RNA from 1 species